rnacentral:rRNA from 1 species
UACAGAGGGGGCAAGCGUUGUUCGGAAUUACUGGGCGUAAAGGGCGCGUAGGCGGCCUUCUAAGUCGAACGUGAAAUCCCCGGGCUCAACCCGGGAACUGCGUCCGAUACUGGAAGGCUUGAAUCCGGGAGAGGGAUGCGGAAUUCCAGGUGUAGCGGUGAAAUGCGUAGAUAUCUGGAGGAACACCGGAGGCGAAGGCGGCUCACUGGGGGUUAUCUGACGCUGAGGAACGAAAGCCAGGGGAGCGAACGGG